rnacentral:rRNA from 1 species
UGCAAGUCGAACGGUAACAUUUCUAGCUUGCUAGAAGAUGACGAGUGGCGGACGGGUGAGUAAUGCUUGGGAACUUGCCUUUGCGAGGGGGAUAACAGUUGGAAACGACUGCUAAUACCGCAUAAUGUCUUCGGACCAAACGGGGCUUCGGCUCCGGCGCAAAGAGAGGCCCAAGUGAGAUUAGCUAGUUGGUAAGGUAACGGCUUACCAAGGCGACGAUCUCUAGCUGUUCUGAGAGGAAGAUCAGCCACACUGGGACUGAGACACGGCCCAGACUCCUACGGGAGGCAGCAGUGGGGAAUAUUGCACAAUGGGGGAAACCCUGAUGCAGCCAUGCCGCGUGUGUGAAGAAGGCCUUCGGGUUGUAAAGCACUUUCAGUUGUGAGGAAAAGUUAGUAGUUAAUACCUGCUAGCCGUGACGUUAACAACAGGAGAAGCACCGGCUAACUCCGUGCCAGCAGCCGCGGUAAUACGGAGGGUGCGAGCGUUAAUCGGAAUUACUGGGCGUAAAGCGCACGCAGGCGGUUUGUUAAGCUAGAUGUGAAAGCCCCGGGCUC